rnacentral:rRNA from 1 species
CUCAGGAUGAACGCUGGCGGCGUGCCUAAUACAUGCAAGUCGAGCGAACAGAUAAGGAGCUUGCUCCUUUGACGUUAGCGGCGGACGGGUGAGUAACACGUGGAUAACCUACCUAUAAGACUGGGAUAACUUCGGGAAACCGGAGCUAAUACCGGAUAACAUAUUGAACCGCAUGGUUCAAUAGUGAAAGGCGGCUUUGCUGUCACUUAUAGAUGGAUCCGCGCCGUAUUAGCUAGUUGGUAAGGUAACGGCUUACCAAGGCAACGAUACGUAGCCGACCUGAGAGGGUGAUCGGCCACACUGGAACUGAGACACGGUCCAGACUCCUACGGGAGGCAGCAGUAGGGAAUCUUCCGCAAUGGGCGAAAGCCUGACGGAGCAACGCCGCGUGAGUGAUGAAGGUCUUCGGAUCGUAAAACUCUGUUAUCAGGGAAGAACAAAUGUGUAAGUAACUGUGCACAUCUUGACGGUACCUGAUCAGAAAGCCACGGCUAACUACGUGCCAGCAGCCGCGGUAAUACGUAGGUGGCAAGCGUUAUCCGGAAUUAUUGGGCGUAAAGCGCGCGUAGGCGGUUUUUUAAGUCUGAUGUGAAAGCCCACGGCUCAACCGUGGAGGGUCAUUGGAAACUGGAAAACUUGAGUGCAGAAGAGGAAAGUGGAAUUCCAUGUGUAGCGGUGAAAUGCGCAGAGAUAUGGAGGAACACCAGUGGCGAAGGCGACUUUCUGGUCU